CUUAAAAAGACAAUUGGAAGGGGUAGAAGGAUGAGGGCUUAGGGUAAAACUUUCCUUUAGUUUGUGUUUCUUGUGAUUGAUUAAAGUGUUUGUUCUAAUGGAUAUUUGCAAAUGCUAUCUUUAUGGAAAUUCUGAUGCCAAAGAAUGAGCUUACAUUUACCUUGUCUUUUUAAGAAAACACAAGAUUCUCCAAGGCUGAAAGGACUGAAGAAAGAGAACAACAUAGUCUGAAUUGCAAAGCGCAUGCAGCCACAGAGAAAACUGAGGCCAGUAAAAUCUCCAACUCUAGCUACCAGCAGCAGCAGGUACAGCAACUGACUUCGAGUCUUCUGCUUUCUCAUGUUCUUUGUUAAGCAUCUUGUUGUUGAUCAAGUUGUGAAGAGCAAUUACACUUCGGAUAAGGGAA
rnacentral:misc_RNA from 1 species